rnacentral:rRNA from 1 species
UAGGGAAUCUUCCGCAAUGGGCGAAAGCCUGACGGAGCAACGCCGCGUGAGUGAUGAAGGUCUUCGGAUCGUAAAACUCUGUUAUUAGGGAAGAACAAACGUGUAAGUAACUGUGCACGUCUUGACGGUACCUAAUCAGAAAGCCACGGCUAACUACGUGCCAGCAGCCGCGGUAAUACGUAGGUGGCAAGCGUUAUCCGGAAUUAUUGGGCGUAAAGCGCGCGUAGGCGGUUUUUUAAGUCUGAUGUGAAAGCCACGGCUCAACCGUGGAGGGUCAUUGGAAACUGGAAAAACUUGAGUGCAGAAGAGGAAAGUGGAAUUCCAUGUGUAGCGGUGAAAUGCGCAGAGAUAUGGAGGAACACCAGUGGCGAAGGCGACUUUCUGGUCUGUAACUGACGCUGAUGUGCGGAAGCGUGGGGAUCAAACAGGAUUAGAUACCCUGGUAGUCCACGCCGUAAAACGAUGAGUGCUAAGUGUUAGGGGGUUUCCGCCCCUUAGUGCUGCAGCUAACGCAUUAAGCACUCCGCCUGGGGAGUACGACCCGCAAGGUUGAAACUCAAAGGAAUUGAC